rnacentral:rRNA from 1 species
UACGGAGGGGCUAGCGUUGUUCGGAAUUACUGGGCGUAAAGCGCACGUAGGCGGCUUUGCAAGUUAGAGGUGAAAGCCCGGGGCUCAACCCCGGAAUUGCCUUUAAAACUGCAUCGCUAGAAUUGUGGAGAGGUAAGUGGAAUUCCGAGUGUAGAGGUGAAAUUCGUAGAUAUUCGGAAGAACACCAGUGGCGAAGGCGACUUACUGGACACAUAUUGACGCUGAGGUGCGAAAGCGUGGGGAGCAAACAGG